ACACGUAGCGGCCAAGAUGGCGCUAGCGGUUGGAGCAGGGGCUCUGCUGCGACCUUUACGGUAGUGAGGUUAGGGACGAUGGGAGAGCAGCUUUGUUCCUGAAGUGCCGUCGAGGAUUAGGAUCGAGUUUCUUCGAUCGUGAGGGCAAUUAUUAGUGGCCUCUAGCCCCCCAGAUGGCAUCUUGAGGAGAGAGAAUCCACGCUACGAGAACUAACAUAGUGGACAUCGCAGUUGUCCGUAGCCGAUUUGCGGGUUACGGAGUUGUUGCAAGUAAAGAAGGGGAAAUCCGAGCGUUCUCGCGUUGGAUUUCCUCCACGUGUGAAGUGGGAAUGGUAGUGAUAUCUCGUGCUAUCUCUGUCAAGGGCAAGAAGGAGAAGGAAUUUAUUUGAGGCCCUACGACGUGGUAGGUUCACCCUCAGCCUUUGUUCUUAUUUCAUCUUAUUUGUGGAGAAGGUCUUUUCGUUCCUAUUUUACAGGUGAGAAAAGGGGCCCAAUAUAUAGUUAUUUGCGGCCAUAAAAUAGAAGCCAGUUGCCUGAUACUGAAGAUUCAAUGAAAUCUUGUGAUUGACUUCCCUCUUUAAAUUUUGUACUUUGGGUAACAUCGGAUCCGGUAGAAACGCUCGUCAGAAAGAGUUUUUAAUGUGCAUUCUACAAUUUCCAGACAUAGUUUCCUUCUUGAAAAAUUGGGUUAAUACUACCCUAUAGGGAUCUUGUGAUGCACCACGUAAACGUUGUAAGUUGUGAACCACUAUACAAACGUAUGAGACUCUUCAUGUUCUUGAGUGGAACUGUAGGUUAGGAAGAGAAGGUAAAUAACAGCAUUUAAGUUUCCUACUACUAUUUGCCCAUUAGCUAAAAAUACCCUCCGAGGUCUAGGAAAGUCACUGUUGUUGAAACCCAACCUACACCUUCAGAAAAUCGUAAAGUGGAACAUAUUAAUCACCAGGCCCUCCCUCCGCUGUCUCCCUGACCUUCCUAUGCAUCCAGUUGCUUAAGAACUCUUGGAAAGAUAGUAAGUGAAAUCUUCAUAGAGGAUUUUUGUACUUUAACAUAUAUUAUUUGAUUUGAGCCUCGCAACAUUUCAGUGUGACAGGUACGAUUAAGGUCUUUCAUACUAUGAAUGAGAAAAACAUAGAUGUACCAAGGACUCACCAAAUUUCACGGAGCUAGGAAUUGGAAGAGAGCUAGGCUUUGUAAUCCCAGGUCUUCUGACCUCCAAAUGUCCUUUCCUCUACAGUGAAUGUCAAAAUGACAAUGAAUGUCUACUCCUCUACAAUGGAGUACAAAUCGAAAGACAAGGGGCUUAUAAAACUGACUCUGACCUUAAGAAGUAGCAUAUGAGUGAUGAAUUAUUAUAGUCAAUCCUUGUGCUUACUAAGUGCCACAUACUGGUCUAAGCAUUUUACAUAGUAAUUCAGUCCUUAGAACAACUUUAUGAGGUGGAAACUUUUAUUAUCUCUAAUUACAAAGGAGGCAACUAAAGUCUAGGAAAGAAGCAAAAUAGCUUGCCUAAAGUCACACAUAAGUAAAUGGUGGCUCACGCCUGUAAACCCAGCACUUUGGGAGGCUGAGGCAAGUGGAUCAUUUGAGGUCAGGAGUUCAAGACCAGCCUGGCCAACAUGGUGAAAGCCCACCUCUACUAAAAAUACAAAAAUUAGCUGGGCAUGGUGGCAUGUGCCUGUAAUCCCAGCUACUCGGGAGGCUGAGACAGGAGAAUUGCUUGAACCAGGGAGGUGGAGGUUGCAGUGAGCCAAGAUCGCUCUACUGCAUUCCAGCGUGGGCAACAGAGCAAGACUCCAUCUUAAAAAAAAAAAAAAAAAAAAAAGCUAAAGCUGGGAUUUAAACCUGAUUAUGUUGGCUCCAGAGCCUAUGCUCUAGACCAGUGGUUCUAAACUUUAAUGGUCAAUAGGAACCGCUUGAGGAUCUUGUUAAAACGCAAAUAUUGGUAGUAUAGAUAUCAGGUAAGGCCUGGAUCCUAUAGUCUUAACAGGCCCCCAGGUGAUGUUGAUGGUGCUGGUCAUUACAUACUACAGUUCACAUCUUCCCUUUUCUCCUAACCGUAUUUAUUUUGCAGUCAGAAACUACCUUUCCCAUGCUGCCUGUGACUGCUUUAUAGUCUCAAAUGUUCCCAACAUGCUCUUCCUUAAGGAUUAGACUCAAACUUUUUCCUCAAAAAGCUUAUCCUGCCCCUGUCUUUCCCUCUAGGAUAAGACAGACAUCCCUGCCUCUGCUCCCCUACCACUCAGUGUACACCUUGUUACAGAGCUCAGAACACUGAAUUAUGGCCAUUUAUUUGAAAAUCUUCCUGGCCGGGCAUGGUGGCUCAUGCCUGUAUUCCCAGUACUUUGGGAGGCCGAGGUGGGCUGAUCACUUGAGGUCAGGAGUUCAAGACCAGCUUGGCCAACAUGGUGAAAUCCCGUCUAUACUAAAGAUAGAAAAAUUAGCCGGUCAUGGUGUUGUGCAUCUGUAGUCCUAGGUACUCUACUCGAGAGGCUGAGGCAGGAGAAUCUCUUGAACCCAGGAGGUGGAGGUUGCAGUGAGCUGAGAUUGCGCAACUGCACUUCAGCCUGGGCGACAGAGCAAGACUCUGUCUCAAAAAAAAAGAAAA
rnacentral:lncRNA from 1 species